UGAGUCCAAUUAGACACGCUGAUUUUAAAACACUGUUUAUGUCAUGAACUCCGCAAAACAGAAGGAUAUUCUCCUAUCCCUGCUAAUUGGGAGUGUUCCGCAAGAACCUGGAAAUUCCCCAAAACCAUAAAAAGUUAUUUUCGUUCAGAAAAAAAUCGAGAGCCGAAGAGUCACAUUAAUGAUUGUGAUACAACUUCCAAGUGCUGGACAGACUUAGCUCCCCCCAUCCCUGCAUCUACGGGCCACUCCGAAUUGACCGUUCCAGUGGGAGGACCUUGUGGGUUCCGGGCCCGAGGCCCAAGCCCACCUUGGCCAUCGCUAUUUUACCGCCGGCUCCCAGGGAUGCAGCGGUGAACAGGAGUGAAUGGGAUGCCUCAAAGAUCUUCAUGCGCCAAAUGGAUCCAGCCGCCAAACUUCUACCCAGGGGCGUAGCUAGAAUCUCUGGACCCUCUGACAGACUGACGCCUUCGCCUGCUUACUCAGGUGGACACUUUGAAUUUGAAGCGAUGUGUAUCCCACAUAUAUAUAAUUUGCCUGGGUAGGUUUUUGGGUUGAUUAGGCCGGUAGGCUUUCCCCAUGGUGGCUUUUGGGGCCCCUGUGAAGUGCUAGGACCCCUGAAUCUGCCAGUGCAUCCAUCCCCAUCCAGUGGUCUUACUUGAAGCAGUUACAUCACAUAGGAUCUCUUUAGUGCCACCCUUCUUGAGUGCAGAUGAAAUACUCCAGUCCCAAGACAAGGGACUCAGGUCAAGACAUCAAACAACAGCACAGGCGUCCUGUUGCGUGGAAAGUUUUAUUCCUUUUCAAAACAGUUGGGUCAGACAUCUUGGAUUGGACUUGGAUGGCUGCAUAUGAGAUCUUCAUCAGUGCUGCUUAAUUAACCACUCCAGUGUAUGACGUCAAUUGCUCCCAAAGGUGUCUAUGACUAGAAUCCAGAGCCUGCGAGAGAGCAUGCCCAGAUCCCUCUGCUUCUGUACACCUAACAGUCUGUUUCAAUAAAGGCUGCAUAUUAUUACUCCAA